rnacentral:lncRNA from 1 species
CUGGACUCUAUUGAAUCCCUUCCUCUCUAGGAUCUAAAACAGGUUGUUUCCCUGCCCCUGCUCUUUCCAGGUGGGAUGCUUGACAGAACAAUGUUCCUGCUCCAGUGGGAUCUGGGCUUGGGUCCUCCUGGAGAGUGAAACAAGUUCAGCUGCUUUUUGGUUCCUUCUGGGAGGAAAGACCUUGAGCCAUAAGUGGGACAAUGCCUCACCUCAGGGCAGGCAAGGUCAUUGUACCAGUGACAUUGGUCUUUCUUUACAGGAAGGACAGUGGAGGCAAACAUCAAAGGGGCCCUGGAAUCCUUUCGAGAGAAGGACCUCCAGCAGAUUUCUGAAAAAAUGCAAGCUCUGCAGACAGUUUUGCAGAACAUGCAGGGGUCCACAGAGCAGCACCUGGAGAUCCUGAGAGCAGACAUGGAGAACCAAUUAGGAAGGACAGUGGAGGCAAACAUCAAAGGGGCCCUGGAAUCCUUUCGAGAGAAGGACCUCCAGCAGAUUUCUGAAAAAAUGCAAGCUCUGCAGACAGUUUUGCAGAACAUGCAGGGGUCCAGAGAGCAGCACGUGGAGAUCCUGAGAGCAGACAUGGAGAACCAAUUAGGAAGGACAGUGCAGACAAACAUCAAACGGGCCCUGAAUUCCUUUCGAGAAAAGGACCUCCAACGGAUUUCUCAACAAGUGCAAGCACUGCGGACAGGUUUGCAGGACAAUCAGAGGUCUCCAGAGCAGCACCUGGAGAUCCUGAGAGCAGACAUGGAGAACCAAUUAGGAAGGACAGUGGAGGCAAACAUCACACGAGCUCUAGAAUCCUUUCGAGAAAAGUAUCUCCAGCAGAUCUCUCAACAAGUGCAAGCACUGCAGACAGAUUUGCAGAACAUGCAGGGGUCCACAGAGCAGCACCUGGAGAUCCUGAGAACAGACAUGGAGAACCAAUUAGGAAGGACAGUGGAAGCAAACACAGCAAAGGCCCUGGAUUCCUUUGGAGAGAAGGCCCUCCAGCAGAUCUCUCAGCAAAUACAGAUGCUGCAGACAGCUUUUCAGAACAUGUCGAGGUUAACACAGCAGGACCUGGAGAACCUCAGA